UACAGAGGGGGCUAGCGUUGUUCGGAAUUACUGGGCGUAAAGGGCGCGUAGGUGGCCUGUUAAGUCGAACGUGAAAUCCCCGGGCUCAACCCGGGAACUGCGUCCGAGACUGGCAGGCUCGAAUCCGGGAGAGGGAUGUGGAAUUCCAGGUGUAGCGGUGAAAUGCGUAGAUAUCUGGAGGAACACCGGUGGCGAAGGCGGCAUCCUGGACCGGUAUUGACGCUGAGGCGCGAAAGCCAGGGGAGCAAACGGG
rnacentral:rRNA from 5 species